rnacentral:lncRNA from 1 species
GAAUAGAAAACUUCAUUCCUAUUGGUCAAAGGCCAUGCCCAAUGGGCUUCAAGGAGGCUACCCGAGGCCUUAUUAGAGAUUAGGAUUUCUAUUAUAAAGUCAUUCGAGCUUUAGAAGCUAAGAACAUCAAGUUUAGGGAUUUAGGUACAAAUUGGAUGUAAUUUUUAUGUGAUUUGGAGUAUUUAUAAAGGAAUUAUUGGUGCUCAAAGUUAAGGUAUUAAUUUCAUACCUAUUGUCACUCUUUGGGGCAUAACAUACAUUUAUGGAGGAUAAUGAAAGUUCGGUGAUUAGGAUUAUAGAGAGCACUUUUUUGACUACAUUUUUUAUAUAUUAUUUGAUAAAUUUAAAAUUUGGAUAAAGAAGUUAUAGAGGGUUGAAGUCAGUGUAUCCAAAUCAAUGGCAGUAAGUAAGUGAUUUUAUUCAUAGUAAUGGUUGGAGCCAUAUCUUGAGUUUUUGGAUGAAUUUUGGCCUCAAAUCUUUUGAAGAAGGUAGAUUAUUGUGUUAAAAAGCUAUAUAUAUAAAUUUUGUGGUAUUUGAGUUCUUAAUUUGUGAGAUAUGAAGAAAAUUGCAUGUAGAUGAAUAAUACCUAGGAUUUGAAGCUACUGUUAGGGUUUUGAUGAUAUCUUAAGUUUUGUGAUGAAUUUGUAGUUAAAAUUUGUUGAAAUAGUUGUUAAAAGUACAUCAAUACUUCAUGUAAAAUUUGAGUGUGUUUGAAUAGUCCAAUUGAAAGAUACGAAUUUUUGAAGUUCAAGAAUAAUACCCCAUAAGGAUAUUAAAGGAUUUAGAAGUUAUAUCAUAUUUUGGAUGUUUUUGGAAACUUAAGACUUAUAUAUUUGGUGUAAUUGCUUCUAAAAGUAUUAUACAUAUAUAUAAAUUUGGUCUUCUUUAUCUCAAGACUUGAUUGAGUAAUUAAUGGCAACUAGAUACUCAAUGCUUUCUUGAAGCAAAAUCUCUCUACUCUGACACCAAGAUCAUUUAUCCAUCCAACUUAUAAUAGGCCCAGCAGUUAUAUACCAGUAGAAACAUCCAAUAUUCUUUUUGAAGUUGGAGGAAGACUACUUUGAUGUUAUCAUUGUUGGCAAAUAAGACUUUAUAUUAGUGAAUAUUUCAAUCCAAGACCCAAUGAUGAAUAUGCUCCUAUAUAUGGAAAUUAUAAGCACUAUGGAUACACAUACUAGUAGUACAAUGCUCCAUUUAAUUUCAAUAAUUAGAAUCAGUAGAUGUAAUCGAGUCAGCAGUCAGAUGAUAAUGGUCGUAUUCAAUAAGAAUCUCGAGUACAUCAGAUUGAGGUAGUUAAUGUGGUGCUUACUUGAGGUCAAUAAAAAAAAAAAAGUUCCAAUUCAAUAAUUAGAUGCAUCAAUUACAAAAAACCAUUUUAUACCAAUUAUAAAAACUCUAAAUCCAAUACAUGUAAUAAAAAUAUUAUCAACAAUGGAACUUGGUCCCUCUACGCAAACCAAUAAUGUUUAUAAUAUGAAGAUAUUGGUUCAAUCUAAACCAAUACCAUUAUCUGAGAAGUUCCAAGAGCCAUCUUAUACAUUAAAGGAUCUUCUCUUGGACGAACAUUCUGAAAAAACUCAUUCAACUAUUUUACAUCCGAAUUCUAUAAAAAAAAGACAUAUUAUCUUAAGGGAUUAAGUUGAAAUCCAUGAAAAAGAAGAGGGCCUUGGAAAUCACUACCAAUAUGGAAUCAUAUGUUAUUUUAAAAGAUUUGGAUGCAAUUCAGCCCUCUAUUAUAAUGAAGCAACUUUUGGCGGUAGCCCCAAAAUAUUAUUCUACAUUGAAUUUUUUAUUAAUAAGAACUAAGUCCUAUAAUAGAAAAAUUUAUAAAGUUAGUUUAAAUCUCAAUCCGAGAGCACCAACUAUUGAUGUAUCCAUUGAUAGUGUUCUUAUUUCUAGAGUUCAAGUGGAUGGUGGCUCUAAAUUGAAUCUAAUGAACGUUGAUAUAAUGGAAGACUUGGAUUUAAAACAAUUAUUAUCCAUGACUGUAGAAUAGAUAUUAAUUUUUUUUUGUAAGAUAUUGAUAAAAUAGACUAAUAGUCCAUAGAAUAGUUAGUUCAGGAGGACAGAUGAUUGAUUUAAUUAUUAAAAGUAAUAAAUUACAAGAUUAAAGUUAGAAUCUGGAAAUCAAAAGCAAUUAUAUAGAAGUUGUAGAAGUUUGUUGGAGUGCCAGAUUUUGAUAGUCAUGAGCCGGGGUAAGCUUGGUACUACCUCUUUACCUCUUUAUUUCUUUGUUUUUUUGUUAUUGAAGAGUAAUUGCCAUGGACAUACUUAUAUAAGCUAGUAAUUAUAUAUACAAAUAGGUGGAAGUAAGUAAAAGUAGAUAAAAGUAAGUUAAUUCUAUGGUAUUUAAUAUAGAAGCUUCUUAGAAGCUUCAUAGACGCUGCUUUGACUUCAUAGGUGUCUUUAAUUGACUUUUUGGAUUAGAAACGUGGUCAAGAAGUUGGCCAUGUACCACACAUGUUGUUAGCUUGAAGAUCAAGCUAACUAUGUCGCCCACAUGUAGAAAAACUUGCCUUGUAAGUCAAGGCAUGUAUCCUACAAAGUCAACACAUAUUGGAGGUCCUAUAGAACGUCGCCACGUAGUCCCUAGUUGGAUAGUAUAUAUAGAGACAAGAGUGAAGCCUUCUUCACUCUUGUCAACUCCUUUCUUGCUUCCAAUUUAGUUUCAAGGGUCUCUAGUUUUCUUGUCUUUUGGCAAUAGCCAUUCUAAUUUUUCUUUCAAUAUACAUAUUUGUUUAUUUAUAUUUUGUUACCUUUCUUUGAGUGAAGGCUCACUUAUUUGAAUUGUUUUUUCAUCGAGUUCUUGUCUUUGACAGUAAUGGAUAAUUUUGAAUAUUGAGAAGUGAGUUUGUGGAAUAAAUCAGAGAUCGAUUUAUGAGUUAUUGAUUGUGUAAUUCGAGUACUGAGUGAUUGAAUUAUAUGAGGAGUUAUUGGAAGAUUAUGAUUGUUGUUUAUUGAGAGUUGUAUGUAUUUUGGACAAAAAAAGUUGGUGAUUACACAAAUUAUAUAAAUUCAGAUUGGUUGGAGUGAAGUCUGUUAUUUCUGGUGUUGGAUGGAAAUUAUUGUAUUUUGAAUGGUCUUUUGAGAGUGCAUGGUUACACACUGUUGUUAUCAGUUGAUGAAGGAGUAUUCUUAUUUAGAAAAAACAUCGUAGUGUUUCUUAGUAUUUUAGUGGUUUGGAAUACAGUUAAUUGUGUGAUCCUAACAAGUAAAACUCAAGCACUUAGUCUUUUCUUAUAUUCAAAUUCUCCUAUACAGGUUUAUUUUGAAAAAAAUUGUAGAAUAAGUAAAACGACAAUCAUAUUUUGGCAUCACUGUCGAGAAUAGACAAUAGUAUUGAAUGUUAGGAAUUAACUGUCAGUUUAGUUAGAUGGAACAUAAGAAGCAAAUUCAUUAGAAUAUAAUGAAAGAGUAUGGCUAUUAAGAAUGAGAACUUAACAAUAAAGAAAAUAUAGCAGUCAAAAGAAUGAAUAGAGAGAUUACAAGCAAGAAAUUUGUUGCGUAACAAGCAAGAACGGAAGUUAAAAAGAAAUCAUCGAAAAAGUUGGAUUAAACCAUGGUUGCAUGUCUAUCAACAUAUCCGAGUAUAUCCAGAAACUGAUUGACAUCAAAUAUUUUAGUAGUAUAUACUGUUAGAAAAAUUACCAAGAGCACUCGCAGAAAAUUUAGUCAAUAGACCAAUGUUUCUUUUGAGGCCGUUAACUACGAGUGGAAGAAUCACAAAAAAAUUGGGUACUGUAUUGGAUAUAUUUUUAAUAAUAGAAGCUUCCAAUUCUAUCAAAAUUGGUUCCAUAGAGUAACAUAAAUUACUGGUCAAUAAGAGCCAAUUUAGUAUAUUUCAAAAUCCAUCAUUUUUACCUCCAAUUCAAUUGACUAACUUAAUAAGGGAUAAUAAUAGCAAAUUGAAGAAACUUGAAAAUUCAAAAAAAUUAAUUGGAGAAGGUACUAGUUGUUUUGACAAAAGAUUAAGUGGAACAUUGUUCUCUUCAAUGGUGAAGGGUAGUCCAGCGGUUCCAAUAGCAAUACAAAUGGGUGACGUGAGUAAUCAUUUAAUGAGCGUGGCUCUAUUACUUACUUUUAGGGAUUUUUUGGGUGCUGAUCUCGAUCAACAUUUGUCUCAAUUUCUGACAGUAUGUGUAGCCAAUAAUGGAAGAAUUGAAGAUAUUUGGUUACGAUGGUUGCCAGCAAUCUUGAAGGACAUGACAUUUGAAUGGUACAACUAUCAACCAGUGGGUUAAUUUUUCAAUUGGAAAGCUUUGAAGAAUUCAUUUUUAAUCCAUUUUUGUCCAAUUGGUUUUGAAGAUCGACUUCGAGAAAGAUUAAUGACUAACAAAAUGGGUCCAAGAGAGGCAGUGGAAUCAUACUAUGGUCGUGUGGCAGAUAUACUCCACAAGUGGCCAAAUUAUCAAAUGCUAGAGGCUUUUGUAUUGUCCAUAUUAAUCAACGGAUUGCACCCACCCGAACUAAAAAUAUUUGUAAAAGAGGCUCAACCAAAUACGAUAAUUGCAUCUCUUGAUAGAACCAAGAUUUGGAAGGAAUGCCAUUAUGAUCAGUUUUUAACUACGGAUGCCACAAUGAUUCUAGUUCAAGGCAGCUAUCAAAAUCCGACUUGGAAUGGAUCAAUGGAUAGUUAUCCAUGGAUGUUGGAAAUAGUGGCCAAUUGCAGUGCCAAUAUUUAGGGACUAAUUAAUGUCACCCCAUUGCAAGCUAUACUACCAAACGUGACAACAGUGUAUGCUCCAUAUUUUCCAUAUCAACAACAAGUGGCAGAGUUACCAAUAAUACUAGUCCCAAAAGAUUCCAAUGAAGCCUUGUUAUUAAACCUGAUAAAGAAAACGGAGGAAAUGGCCGUUAAUAUGGCCAAGGAUAAGGAGAAGAGGCACAAGCCUACCAAUACUAGGACCAAUUUAUGGUACAAUAAUUGUAAGGGCUAUGAUCAUUUGGUAACAGAAUGCCUUUCACCCUUACAAAUGAUGGGUCAAUGUACAUUUUGCGGAGGAAAGCACUUAACAACUAAUUAUUAGAACUGGUAAGGGCAACAACAAUUCAGUAAUCAGACCAUGAUCCCAACAACUCAAUGGGAUGUCAAUCAAGUUUAAAUGAAAAAUAUGUUUGGAUGGAAUGGAAAUCGAUCUAAUCGAUAAAAUCGAAGAUUCAAUUAUUUUUAAAGUUCCAAUUUUAAUCAGGGGUCUGCAUCAAACCCUUAGAACUACUUGAUUGCAGCUUGAGACUUGAUUGCAUCACACCAAGAUAAUAGAUCAAUAAGAAGACCAACAUUUGCAUGUUCUUCACUUACUUGAGGGAAGAUGUGGUUCUUCCACCAUUGAUGACAUUACCUUCUUUCUCUCAAAAGUUAUCUCCUUUCACUUGUAGAAGAACAUUCACCUUGUUGCACUCCAUGUUCUUUUCUAACCUUCUUUUCUCUUAAACCUUGUUAUUUUUGAUUCAAUGGUUGGUACUCUUCAUCAUCUUCAUUUCCUUCAUUGCUGGUCCUAAUGAUUGUAAGAACCUUCAUCUUUUCAACCUUCUUUGGCUUUUCAUCUUCAUCAUCUUUAUUGUCUUCAUCUUCUUAUUUUUUUGCUGAAUUCAAAGUUGUAUCAACAAACAUACCAUUACUCCCACUUGAACACAUCUCUAAGUACUCACAAGCACUUUUGUGCUCCAAAAACUCAACAUUACGAUUUUUGAUGAUCUUCUUGGUUUCUAAUCACAUUAGCAUAUAUGCUUUAGUACCUUCACAAUAACCAAGAAAUACAUAUUUUGUAUCUUUUGCAUCAAGUUUGGACUUCAUACAAUUUGGUAUUUUUGCAUAUGCAAUGUAAUCAAAGGUUUUCAUAUAAAAAAUGUAAGGUUGUCUCUCUCUUCAAGCUUCUUGUGGUGUCAUCUAUGCAAGAGCACUUGUUGGACAUCUAUUUCUUGUAUACACUACAUUCACCACAGCUUCUAUCUAAAACUCAUAAUCAAGGUUUUGAGCAUGAAGCAUGGUCUUUGUCAUUUCUACAAUGGUCCGAUUUGUCCUUUUAGCAAUACCAUUUUGUUGUAGAGUAUAUGGAGUUGUGGUUUGUUUAGCAAUUCCUUCAUUCUUUAAAUAAGGAUCAAAUUACUUAGACAUGUAUUCACCUCCAUUGUUUGUACACAACACUUUCAUCUUGUAUUCACUUUGUUUCUCAAAAAGUGCUUUAAAUUCCUUAAACCUCUAAAAGAAUUCACUCUUGGCUUUAAGAAUGUAGAUCCAAAUCUUUCUUGAAUGAUCAUCAAUAAAAGUGAGAAUUACCUUGAUCCUCCAAUACAAGUAUUCUUCAUAGAUCCACAUACAUCCAAAUGGAUAAUCUCCAGCAACUUGGUAGCAUGUUGUAGUGAUGUAAUAUAACUAUAUAGUGAAACUAUAAUCAAAAUUAAAUUUUUAGUUAAUAUAUAAUUAUCUUAGUUCAAUAAUAAUUCAAGGUAUCUAAACAUGGCUUUUAUAAAAGUCUUUUUUGUUAUUUUCUUAUCUUAAUAGUUAGUAGAUUGAAGGUCAAUUAAUACUUUUACCUUCUAGACUAUAGAGACUCUUUUACUACCUUAGUAAGACCAUAAAUUAAUAAAAUCAAGUUAAAAGAUAUAAAUAAUUAAUAUGAUUGAUACUAGGAUUAAAUAGAUGAUAGGAUUGGACUAAAAAUCCUUUAGAAUAAGUUAGAUUGAUAUCCAAGGAUCGACCAUUUGUGAGCCAGGGUUAAAAUGAAAUCUCUAGCUAUUAAAACAACUGCCUAAGGUAAAACAGGUAUUCAUUCAAAAAAUGGAGAUUAGUAUAUGAGAGCUAGAUUGGAACUUCUUUCAGAGAUGUAAGAUUUAUUUUGAUAGUAUUUGUAAGAACUCAACAAUUGUUGUUGGAAGUCAAGGUUUAUAGUGGCAACUUGGGGUUUAUGCAAUAAAAUUAGGGCUAGCACUCUCAGUUAGUUCAUAAAAUUGGUGUCACAUCUAUAGUUCAAAUUUUAACACUACUUAGUAAAUUAGGUUUUCUAAAUGUAUAUAAAAAUUUGUACUAAUCUAAUAGUGCAAUUGAGAGAUAUUUGGAUUUUAGUAUAAGAACAUACUAGCAAUUGGCAGUUUGGCGUUGGAUAGGAUUUGUAUGAUAUCUAAAGUUCUACAAGUCGGAUCAAGGUGAAAUUUGGCAUGGUAUGAGAAGACUUAAAGAUCAAGCUACACAUCAAUUUUGAGUUGAAGUUAAUAGUUAAAGAAGGAGAUAAAAAUAGUGGAACUUCUGCAUUACCUUUCAAAUUGGCAACCGAGUGACAUCAGUGCAAUUUUUGGAGGAUUGGGCUGAAAUUUCUUGAGCAUACAAGAUUGUGAAAAAACCUCCAAAAAUUGUACUUCUUUUAUGCAUCCUUUACAUAUAAGUUAUUUUGUAUUUUGGCUUGUAUUUCUAAGAUGUAAGCCACUUAUCAUAGAUUUAAUCUCUCUCAUGUUCUUCACAUUUAAAUGGCUAAGGCGACGAUGCCAUAUAUUCAACUUGUCUUGGUUUGAUGUAAACUCAGCAAAUACAGCUACAUCCACUCUAUUCACUUUCUUACAAAUGAGGUAGUAUAAAUUUCCCUCUCUAAAGCCUUUGACGAUCUUGUCUCCACUCAAUGUUCUUACAAAACAUUCAUUCAUAUCAAAUUGAACUUUAAAACCUUCUAUUAUAAGUUUACUCAUUGAAAAUAGAUUUUGCUUCAUCUUAGGUAUAUGAAGGAUAUUUUUUAAUCUGAUCCUAUUGGUUUGUCUAUUCACAACCACCUCCACAUUAAUAGAGCCAAUUCUAAUGGCUUCACAUGUGCCACUAUCUGCUAACAUCACAUUUGAUGAUGGAAUAGCCUCAUAAGUGUCAAAUGAAUACUUAUAAGGUGUCAUAUAUUUGGAAUAACUUGAAUCCACAAUCCAUCUUGAUAUGGUAGCCAUAGAGAUUUCAUUUUUUGUUGUGAAUGCAUAAUCUUUUCUUCUUAAUUCAUCUUGCACAUUAUUUGCAUUCUCCUUCUCCAUCUUUUUUUCUUAGUAACAAUUUCAAGAAAAAUUACCUACUUUGCUACAAAUGAAGUAAGAUUUGACAUUACCUCAUUGAUUUCAAUAGUUACUCUUACCUUGACGUGAGUAGAGUGUUGAAGCUUCACUUUGGGACUCAUUUUCUUUCUUCUUGGUUACUUCAUAGAUAAGUCUUUUUGUCACAUAGUCUAUUAUAAGUUCUUUUAGCUUAAUAGACUCCAAUACCACAAUAAAGUAGUUAUAGGAUUCAAGAAGGCUCAUCAGUAAGGUCAUAACAAUAUCACUUUCUUCUAAAGGCUUGUCAAUAAUUGCUAGUUGGUUUGCAAGAGCCUUUACCUUAUUGACACAAGCUAUGAGAUCUUCACCUUCUUCUAUCUUACAAGUGAAGAACUUCUUCUUUGUAUAGAUGAUGUUGAAUAAGUUCUUACUCUUAUAGAUGUUACAAAGAGUUUUUCAUGCUUUUGCUAAUCUUUUGCAAAAGAUAAUGUGGAAGAAGUUGGAUUCAUACACAUUGAUUGCAAUCAAUCCAAAAGCCUUCUUUUUACAAUAUUUGAACUCCUUCUUCUCCUUCAUAUCAAUAUCUAUUUUUGGAGCCUCUUUAUUUUCAUCUAUAAUAUCCCAAAGAUCCAAAGAUGCUAACAAAAGCUCUAUUUUUACCUUCCAAUGGUAGAAAUUCUUACCUUUGAAUUUUUCAAUUACUCUCAAUCCUUCACCUUCACUUGAAGUUAUGUCUAAAGAAGAGAUGUAUCAAAAAAGAUUGAAAGAAGAAGUCCUAAUGCUCUCAAAAUCAGUAAGAAAGUAUUAUUACCUUACAAUUACAGAAUCCUUCUUCGCAAACAAACUAAUAUUCUUACUCUCAAAGACAUUCUCAACUUCACUUCUAAGGCUUUGUACAAGUCUAAUAACCUAUCUGAACAUCUCAAAUCUAAUUUUCUACUCAAAUAUCACUCUUAUGCUCACAAAUCACUUCUAUACACCAUGAGAGGCCUUUUUAGUAUAAUCAGUAUCUUUAAGACUUGAAAUUACAAAGUUAGACUACAAAAGAUCUAUCUCAGCAAAAAUAAAAUGCAAGUGUUCUAUAACUUUGCCUUAAGGUGAAAAACCAAAUACCAAAAUCAAAAUACUCUUGACCACAAGUAAGACCAAACCAAGAUCUAGAUCUAAAUUUGAAUUUGAAAGUUAGCUACUUCUAAAUCAGCAACAAGAACUUCAUCUACUCUACACAUCAAUAACUACUUCAAAGAACUUCAAAACACUCAAGCAAACAUUUAUGGGCCUAUAACAUAUAGAAGAAAAGAAGUCUAAAAGCUAUAAAUACUUAACAUCAUCAAGGUUUGUACACAAAGAGAAGUGUGGAGUAAGAUAUCUCUUACUUCCAACAUCCUUUACUUAUAGGUGGAGUUUACAUCUAAAGUACAUGGACUUCAUUCAAAGACAUCUUCAUUCUUCCAAUAAAACCUAGAUUCAUCUUAACCUAGCUGCCACCUUAAAAUCCUAGCCACCACCAUAGUAACUUCUUUUUAUCCUUUGCUACCUUUUAACUAUGAAAAAUUUAUUAUGAUUAAUUUUUAUGUGGUGGUAAUUAAAUAAGAGCUUAUUGAUCUGCAACAUUCUACAACUAGGUGCCCUGUGCAUUUUCAAGCAAGAACAUAUGUAAUGACACCAUUGUUUUGCCACCAUUUCCUAAUGUGGUUUAGCAACAGUCUCAUAUAUUUAGGAGGGUUGGUUUUUGUCAUUAUUCUUGUCAAAAUUGCUACAAUGCAACAUUGUGUGCUGAUUGUCUUCAUAUGUUUUUAGUGUCUCCAUAUAUCGAGCACAUUCUUCCAAACUCCAAGCAUAGAGAAGGCUGCAGUUGUGAAGUAGAGAUGUCUUUAUUACUUCAUGUAGCUGAUUGAUCACAUCCUCCAAGUCAAUGUGACAGUACCACAGGUAACCAAAAGCCCUUCUGCAGCUCCCGGAUUCAAAAAUAGAGAUAAUCGGGAUGAAGUAGAUGAUAACUUAAACUUAUGUAAAGAGCACAAGUCGACUGGCCGAGCAGAUAGUCAGGCACAAUAUUGCCAUACACCCAUCGAACGGUUCGGAUAUAUUUUAGCCCUGGAUUUCAUGUUUGGCGAUGGUUAACUAAAAUCGCAUUAAGCGGUUAAGAGUUAACAGUUGGCAGAGCCUCUUGCGAUCUAGAUCCAACCUCGUUUCCAAAGACACCUUCUGAAGGCGCAAUAGGGACAGUAGGAGUAGGAGUCGUAGGAGACGGAGUGUAAAAUUCCGUUUGCCUCAUGAAAGACAAUGCCUCCCUGAAGAAACCCGACACACUGCCAGCUCUUCUCAGUGGCUACUGCUGCUGUUAGGAAGCUGAGCUGGUUACCAACGCUGCUUCCACUGCCUCGACAGGUUGUGCGGCGCUGGAAGGACGAGAGAAGAAGGGCGGAGCCUGGGGUCGAGAAUUCUCUAAUACUUCGGCGUGCAACGGAAUGUGCAAGAAGGAUUUCCUUUUAUUUCUUGCCUGCGAAUCGACCUCCCUCGCUGCCAUCGUAGCGUCUACAGCCUCCUCCCUCCACCACUACAACAAUAACAAUUAACAACAACGACGAGAAGGGAGAGAAGGGAGAGAGAGUGAGGCUGCACUAGUGGAAAGCUUGGGAUCCGCGAGGAAGCCAAGCGGCAGGAGUAGGUAUGAGUUGUGUGUGUCAACAUAGUGCCAAGUCAAGGAUCCUGCUGGUUUUUUUGUUUUGUUCGGAUUUCGCUACGGUGGUUACUCAUCUCGCACCAGCAAUCAAUCGGGGAAGACAGAGUGUGGGUGUCGACUUCUUUCGGCUCGGGUUCUGCCAUUGCCCUACUUGUAAUCAACAGGAGGAAUACGGAGAGGCAACCGUGAAGAAGAGGCGACAAAAGAUUAAGCAAGGCAGUUCAUAGGGAGAGUUGCGGCUGUUUUCAAAUUUCGUCUAAGUCCACGACUUCAAAAAAAAAAACAGAGAACUAGGGAUCAAGUGCAACAUUGUGAAGUAGACAAACCUAUCAAAGAUAUAUUGUUGAAGUUUUUUAUGAAUAAAUUAUGUGCAUGGGUAAAAAAAAAAUAAAAAUAAAAAUAAAAAUAUAAUCACUUGGAUUCAAUUAGAUCAUAUAUAGAUAUAUUAGGAUUUAAAGAUUGGAUGACAAAUUAUAGAUGAGAAUUGAUUGAAUAUGGAUGAUUUUUUAUUUAUGGAGGAAAAACCAUUAAUGGAUGGAAAUUUAUUCUUAGAUGAAAAUUUUGUAGAUGAAAGUUUAAAUUUGGAUAAAUUCUUUAUUAAACAAUUAAAUAAAUAAAUAAGUAAAUAUAUAUAUAUAUAUAUAUAUAUAUAUAUAUAUAUAUAAUAUAAUAUAAAUCAUCAUAAAAAUAAUUUUUUCUUUAAUAUGUAGCUUUUGUAUUAUUUUGUAGCUUAUAUUAUGGAUUGUAGAUGCUUGAGUAUAAAUUUAAUUUGUUAAAGAGAUUAAUAUCUCUUCACAAGAAAUAGGAAGAAAUUUUAUUUAAUCACUCAUAAGUUAUUUAAUAGUUGUGGAUUAGAUGAAAUCACCUAAUAGGAUGAUUUAUUUUAUUUCAUAAGUGGAAUGUUUUUAAAUUCUUUUGACAUGAAAUCAAAUACUAAUCAAUAAUUAUUAAAAUAUUUAGAUAACUAAAUUAUCAUAAAUUAGAAUAGACUUCCAAUUAGUGGAGCUUUUAGUUUAAUUUAUAAAUCACAUUUUAAGGUGAUAAUCCAAGCAACUCUAUUUUCUUUGGUUUAUAGCAUAGAAGCCAUUUUAUCAAUUGAGUUUUUAAUUCCAUCGCUUCAAAUUACAUUGAAGCCAAGGACAUAAAUCUCAAAGAAAGAAAAACCUUAAUACACUCUUGUGUCAAAGAAGGGAACUAAAAAGUCGCUCAAAAGGUGAUGUAAUAUUAAACUAGAAUGGCUAUUGCCAAAAAUAAGAAGACUAGAAAGUCUUGAAACAAGCCUAAGAACUAAAAAAGUGUUGAUAAGAGUGAAGAAGGCUUCACUCUUGCUUCCAUAUAUAUUCUUUAAUUAAAAGCUAUGUGGCAAUAUUCUAUAGGACCUCCAACAUGUGUUGACUUUGUUGGCCAUAUAUCUUAACUUGAAAGGCAAGUUAUAUAUGUAUGUGCCACAUAGUUAGCUUAUUCCUCAAGCUAUUAAUACGUGGUUAACUUGUUGGCCAAGUUUCUAUCCUAUAAAUAUAUCUAAUAUCAAAAUCAUGUCUAUAAAGCUUUUAAGAAGCUUUUCUAGAAGACUUUAUAAAAUUAAUCUAUAUUUACCUAUUUCUACUUAAUCAUAUAAGUAACUAUUGGGAUAAAUAUAUAUGUCCGUAACAUUACUUCCUCUUCUAGGAACAAAUUCUAUAGGGAGCGGUCUUUAUAUAUUGAAGAAAUCUAAGAUUUAGUGAAUUAUAUUUGCCACAUACUGCAAUCUUUGCUCUCUUCAAAGAUGAUUGAUAGGUCCUCUCAACCAUCGAUAGUAUCCUAUAUCACGGUGAGAAGACCAUCCUAUUAUUUGGUUGUUGUUGAGGCCUUCGUAACUUCCUUCAAAUAAAAUAUUUGAAACACCAUCAAGAGUUGUAUCUACAUCUAAUAAAAUUACCAAACAUUGGGAGUUUUUUCCAAGGUUGUGUUACCAAAUACAUUGUAUCUCACCAUCUAUUGAAGGAAGGACAUGUCGUUCUUGAAGAUCUUCGUUUUGAUUUUAUUCUCUUGAAGAUUAUGACAAUCAUAAUAUCUCAUUUGGUAAAUCUGUAAAUGAAAGAUUUUGAGUUGAAUUUUCUAGUUAUUGGUUCUCCAUGUCCUUAGCGUCACAAAGAUACAAAAUCUACAAAGAAAGAUAGAAGAUAGAAUAUUAUCUUCUUUUGAUCUUGUUUCUUUUAUAGUAAAGAUUUGUUAUUCUUCAUCUUGAUUUUGAUAGAUGUCAUUAAUGAAAGGCUUCAACUCUCUUUGUUGUAUUUACAAGAUUCUUUGAUAGCUCUCAUGUACAUUCACUAAUAUCAUAUCUAUGCCAAUGAACAAGAUAUUCCAACUUAUUUUGGUGUCGCCUUGAAUCUAACAUGUCUUCUACCUCAAACUCUUAAUUAUAAUCUACUUCUAUAAGAAGAGGUGGCAUUUCUCUUCUUUCUAAGAUAUUUAUCAUGUUAUACGACUCAAGAAGGGAUACAUAAAAUGCAUGGUGGAUCUUCAUAGACUCUGAUAGAUAUAAUUGAUAAGCAACAAGAUUGAUUUGUUCACAAAUAAAAAAAAGGUUCCAGCCUACAAUAGUCCAACUUAUCACAAGGACAAGUAAUCUUAAUAUUGCAACAAAAUAACCAUAAUUUUUUACCUAUAUUGAAUUGUGGUUACUCCUUGCAAUAGGCAUCUACAUAGCUCCUUUGUUAUUCUUGAACUUCUCUUAAUUGAGUCUUUAUUAUUGCAUGUAGCUCUAAUAAAUAAUUUUUUAAAUCUUUUGGUAUAGGAUUAUCAAAUUUUGAAAAGUCAAAAGUAUCAAGAUAUAGAUGAUAACCAUAAUUGGCAAAGAAAGGUGUUUGUUGAGUAGAAUAAUAUAUCAAAUUAUUAUAUGCAAACUUUGCCGAUGGCAAAAGAAUUAUCCAAUCAUCUUGAUGAUAGUUGAUAGUUGUAGAAUAGGUAGGAUAUUUUUUGUUUUAUAAUACAUAGUAUGUAGCAUUAAGAAAAGCUAAUAAAUUAAUGAAUGGAUAAUUUAGAAGAAAAGAUGGAUGAUGUAGUCAAAAAAAAUAAUUAUCAUCGAUUGUAUAGUAGUUGGCAUUUUAAGGAAAAGCAUAAGUAGUUUGAAGAAGAAAUAGAAAGGACCAAAGUAUAAUAGUCAUGAGCUAGAGUAAGUUUGGUGCUACCUCUUUGUUUCUUUGUUUUAUUUGUAGAAGAAGAGCAAUAGAUAGAAUUUGAAUAAUGUGAAAUAAAAUUUUGAAAUGAAAGAAAGAUUUUAUUUAGAUGAUGUCAAAUGAAAAAUUGAAUUUAUUAUGUACUGAAUUAUAAGUGGAGGACUAGAAAGUUGAUAAUGGAAGAUAUUUGUGAAAUAUGGAUAUAACUGAAAGAAUUAUAAUGUAUUGAUUUUUGAGAAUUGAGAGUAUACCAAGAAAAAGACUAUGAAGUCUAGCAUUGUGUGAAGCAGGUCAUUAGAAAUGAUAGUUAGUUUUGAAGAAUUCCAAUGAUUGGAUAGGAAAUAUUUUAUAUAAUCUUUUAAGAUAGUUUAGUAUUACCUAUUGUUGUCAUAAGUUAGGAGAGAAAAAGAGCCAAUGAAUGUAUAAUAUAGAAUUAACAAUUGCAAUAUUUUAUUUGAUAAAAUGUAAGAGACAUUGUAGCUUUCUUGGUUGUUUUGGUUGAUCAGGAGACACUUAAUUGUGUAAUCCUAACUAAAAAAUUCAUAUAGAUAGUCUUUUUCUAUGUUUAAAUUCUCCUAUACAUAUUUAUUCUAAUUAAAUUAGUGAAAAUUAAGUAAAAUAAUAAUUAAAUUUUGGCACCACUGCCAAAAAAUUGACAAUGGUAUUGAGUGUUAAGAAUUAACUAUUGAAUGUGUGGUUGUGGAUGUUGCAUGAAGAGGUUAUAAAAUUGAUGUUGAUUCAAAAGUGAAGCCAAAUAUAUAAUAAGAUUAGAGACAAAAGUAAUUUUAGUAUUAUAUAUUAAAAGAUUAUUGUUAAUAAGAAUGAGAAUAUUGUACUAAGAAAAACACGCUAAUUAAAAAAAAGAUAAGAGAGUAAGCAAGAAAUUUGUUGUGAGACAAGCAAGAAUGUAAUUUGAAAAAGAAGCAUUGAUAAAGUUAGAUUAAACCAUGGUUGCAUGCCUGUCGGUAUAUCUGAGCAUGUCAAGAACUUGAUAGACUGCUAAUAUUUUAGUCAUAUAUACUAUUAAAAAACCUACCAAGAAUAUCCAUGAAAAAUUCUAUUAAUAAUCUAUCGUAUCUCUUAAGUUUGUUAACUAAAAGUAAAAGAAGCAUAGAAGGAUUAGAUACUCCAUUAAGUACCUUUUCAAUUACAGAUACAACCAAUUUUAGUAAGACUGGUUCUUUAGAAAUGCAUAAAUUGCUUGCCAAUAAGGGCCAAUUUAGCAUAUUUUAAAAUCUAUUAUUUUUAAUUUUAAUUCAAUUAAUUCAAUUAAUUAUUUAUAGAUAAUAAUAGUAAAUUGAAUAAGUUAGAAAGUCCAAAAAAGAUAAUUAGAAAAGAUAGUAUUUAUUUUAAUAAAGAAUUAAGUGAAACAAUGUCAUCUUCAAUGGCAACAGGUGACCCAAUAGUUUCAAUUGCGGUUCAAAUGGGUGCGGAGGGCGAUCACACAACUAGUGUAGCUCCAUUACCUACUUUUAGAAAUUUUUCAGGUGCAGGUCCAAAUCAAAAUUUGUCUCAUUUUCUGAUUGCAUGUAUAGCCAAUAAUAAUAAAACUAAAGAUAUUUGGUUGAGGUAGCUGCUAGCAACCUUUAAAGAUACAGCAUUUGAAUGGUAUAAUUGCCAACGUGUGGAUUAAUUUUCUAAUUGAAAAGUAUUAAAAAAUACAAUUUAAAACUAUUUUUGAUAAAUUGGAUUUAAAGAAUGUCUUAGGAAAAGGUUAAUAAAUAGUAGAAUGGUACCAAGAGAAGUAAUGUAGUUAUAUUAUGGCCAAGUAGCAGAUAUUAUUUGUAAAUGGCUAACAAACCAAAUGCCAAAAUCAAUUGUUUUAUCUAUAUUAAUAAAUAAACUAUAUCCACUAGAAUUGAAGAUGUUUGUAAAAGAGGUCCAAUUAGCCACUAUUCCUUCCUCACUUGAUCGAGGUGAGGUAUGGAAAGAAUGUCAUUAUGACCAAUUUCUGAUGAAAAGAGCCACAAUGAUUCUAUCUCAAAGAGAUUAUCAAAUCCUAACUUGGAAUGAAGUAGUAGGCAGUUAUCCAAGAAUGAUUGAUUACAUUACAAAUCUUAGUAUUAAUUUGUAGAAAAUAUUUAAUAUUGUUCUAUUACAGGUUGUAUUGCCCAUAGCAGCAGUUUCGUAUUUGUCAUAUCUUUCAUAUCAAAAAUCAGUAUCUACAAAAGAGUUAUCUAAUGAAAUAAUAUCAAAGGAUCUUAAUGAUACUUUGUUAUUAACUUUGACAAAGAAGAUGGAUGAAUUGGGUAUUAAUCUGGCAAAGGAUAAAGACAAGAGGCAUAAACUGGCUAAUAUGUGUCCUAAUAUUUGGUGCAGUACUUGUAAAAGACAAGGCCAUAUAGUAAUAGAAUAUUCUUCACCACUUCGAAUGAUUGUGCAAUGUACAUUUUGUGGAGAUAAGCAUGCUACCACCAAUUGUUGGAAUUUACAAAAGCAACAAUAAUUUGAUAACCAAACCAUGAUUUAACUGAUUUUAUGGAAUGUUAAUCAAGUCCAGAUAGGAAAUAGGUUUUGUUGGAGUGGAAAUUGUUUGAAUAAACAAAAUAAGAAUUUUUCUAAUCUUCAGAAUUCUAGGUAUAACCAAGAAUGUGGACCCAAUUUUUAAUGUAUUGAGCAAAAUCAGCAAGGAUAUUCUCAAUAUCCAACUAUUUAGAAACUGAUUUCAGAUUCUCUAAUACCAACUGGACAGCCGAGAACAUUUAUUUAUCCAACCUAGAAUAGACCCAGUCGAUAUAAACUAGUAGAAAUACCCAAUAUUCUUGAUGGAGUUGGAAGAAGACUACUUCGAUGUUAUUAUUGUAGGCAGAUAGGACAUCAUGUUAGUGAAUGUUCCAAUUCAAGAGCUAAUGAUGAAUAUGCUCUAGUAUGUGGAAAUUAUAAGUAGUUUGGAUACACAUAAUAGCAGUACAAUUCUCCAUUUAAUUUCAAUAAUCAGAAUCAACAGAUGCAGUCGAGUUAGCAGUCACAUGAUAAAGGUUGUGUUCAAUAAGAAUCUCCAAUACAUCAAGUUGAGGUGGUUAAUGUAGUGCUUAUACGAGGUCAACAAAAAGAGAAAGACCCAAUUCAAUAAUUAGAUGUUCCAAUUGUAAAGAAUCAUUUUAUACCAAUUAUAGGAACUCUAAAUCCAAUACAUGUACUAGAAAUAUUACUAAUAAUGGAACUUGGUCCCUUUAUGCAAACCAAUGAUGUUCAUAAUAUCGAGAUAUUGGUUCAACCUAAACUAAUACCAUUAUCUCAGAAGUUCCAAGAGCCAUCUUAUACAUUAAAGGAUCUUUUCUUAGGCAAACAUUUUGAAAAAAUUCAUUUAGCUAUUUCAUAUCCAAAUUCUAUAAAAAAAAAAAAAAAAAAAAAAAAAAAAAGAUAUAUUAUCUCAAGGAAUUAAGUUGAAAUCUAUGAAAAAGAGAAGGGCCUUAGGAAUCACUAUCAAUAUGGAACCAUAUGAUAUUUUGAAAGCUUUGGAUGCAAUUCAGCCCUCUAAUAUAAUGAAGCAACUUUUGGCGGUAGCCUCGGAAUGUUAUUUUAUAUUGAAUUUUUUAUUAAUAAGAACUAAGUCUCAUAAUAGAGAAAUUUGUGAAGUUAGUUCAAAUCUUGAUCCAGAAGCAUCAACUAUUGAUGUAUCCAUUGAUGAUGUUCUUAUUUGGAAAGUUCAAGUAGAUGGUGGCUCUAGUGUAAAUCUAAUGAAUGCUCAUAAAAUGGAGGACUUGGACUUAAAACAAUUAUUACCCAUGACAUUCAUAUUAAAAAUGGCACAUCAUAGUUAGGUGAAAUCAAUGGAUAUCUUAUGUAGUAUUGACAUUGUAAUCACUAGAAUUAUAUACAAGAUUGUUUAUAUUAUUUCUUAAUUACAGAGUUCCACAUUAUCCUAUCUAAUCUUAUUGGAUUGAUUGUAGCUAUAUUACAUCAAAGCUAAGAAUGAUUGGAUCCAUAGAACAUUGACUAUUGAAAAAGAAAAAGACAAGAUUGUGUUACAAAUGUAUCCAAUUCAAUAUUAUGGAGAAUUCUAAAUUCUGAGUUGAAAGGCAACAUCUGACAAUAAGGGUCAAUCUGAUGCAGAAUAUGAUGAAGUUAUCAAUGUAAUGCAAGUUAAUAAUGACCCACUUUACAUGCAGAAGUAGAGCAUGUUAUAUUAAUGUGGAAGAUAUGGAGAAUAUUUAUUAUAUCUAGAAGAUAGAAUAAACUUUAAUCAUGCUAUUGCCGAUUGGAUGAAUAUUUCUACAAUUAAUGAAGUUAAUACAUUGGAACCAAAAUUGGAUAGUUCCAAUUUUUCAGAUUAUAUGAAAGAUUAUGUGCCAAAAAAAAAAUCAAAUCUGAUGUUGUCGAAGAACUUGUGUGCCAGUCCCUCAACUUAGGUACAAAUAAAACGUCGAAGGUUAUUCAAUUAUAUAAUGGAAUUAAGGAUAUCAAGUUAAAAAAACUCGAAGGCUUUCAUCCUAAAUCAUAAAUCUUCUUUUGCAUGGUCAUGUGUGGAUUUAAAAGACAUUCUUGCUGAAGUUUUUGAAUAUCAAAUUAUUUUGGAGGAUAAUGCUAUACUAGAUCGUCAAAGACAACAUCAUUUCAAUCCAAAAUAUUUCCUUAUGGUAAAAGAAGAAUUAAACAAACUUCUUGAUGUGGAAUUUAUUUAUAUAGUUUCGCCUAGUGAAUGAGUUUCAUCAAUUGUAAUAGUGCCAAAGAAGAAUGAAAAAAUCUAGAUCUGUCAAGAUUUUCAUAAGUUAAAUAGGGCUAUUAAGAAGGAUUAUUUUCCUUUAUCUUUUACAGAUGUUAUCUUAGAUGUGGUAGCCGUGUAUGAAUGUUAUUUCUUUUUGGAUGGAUUUUUAGGUUACAAUAAAGUUAAAAUUAUAAAAAAAGAUUAGUUAAAGUCUACUUUUACUACAAACUAGGAGACCUUUGCUUAUAAAGUUAUACCAUUUGGAUUAUGUAAUGCCCCAGCCAUAUUUCAGAGGAUAAUAAUGCAAGCUUUUCAAGAUUAUUUAUGACAUUUGAUGGAGAUAUUUUUAGAUGAUUUUUAUACAUUUAGUAUGAAGGCUGAUCAUUUGGAAUGUCUUAGUAAGUGUUUUGAUCACUAUGGCUAUUAUAGAAUCUCAUUGAAUUUGGAAAAAUAUCAAUUUGGAAUAUUGUUUAGUAAAUUAUUACUACACAUUGUUUCAUUGGCUGAUAUUGCUAUUGACCUGGAUAAAGUUAUUCGUAUAUUGGCUUUACAAAAGCUUGAAACAAUGUCAGGUGUUCAUGGUUUUGUUGGCCAUAUCAGUUAUUAUCGACGAUUUAUUCAUUUAUUUGCGGUCAUAUGUUAGCUUUUAACUAAUCCUUUAAAAAAAUCCAUGUCGAAUGGAUCUAGUCCAAUUUGGACUGAAGAAUGUAUAAUUACGUUUGAGGAAUUGAAAUGAAAAAUAGUAUUUGUACUAGUAAUGUUUGCAUCAAGUUGGUGUGAUUAUAUCCAAAUAUAAUGAAUUAAUUUAAUAUUUGAUAUUUCAAAUAUUUCUACCUAUUUAUAGUCAAAAAUUUAAGAAAUACUUGAUUUUAAAAAGUAUACCAUAUACAAUGAUUGGUGAUGCCUUGUAUAAAUAAAGAUGCGAUAGAAUUUUAUAUCAUUGUAUCUUUCAAAGUGAAAUAUGUAUUAUAUUGAAAGGCUACGAUUUGAGUAGUUGUGGUGGCUAUUUUGCCAAUGAUAGUACUACUCAUAAAGCUUUAGUAGCUAGAUAUUGGUAGCUAAUAAUGUUUUCGGAUGUAUACCAAUAUGUCCAAUUUUGUGAUCUUUUCCAACAAAUUGUUCAACCUAUUAGAACUUCUGCCAUGUUAUUGGUACUAAUUUUGGCAUAAGCACCAUUUGAAAAAUGGGGUAUUGAUUUUCUAGGACCAAUAGCUCUAGCUUCACAUAAUGGUCAAAAAAGAUAUAUUUUGGUAGCGUCUAAUUAUGUAACAAAAUCGGUUGAGGCAGUGGUAACAAAAACUGAUAAUAUCAAUAUAAUAGCCACAUAUUUAUAUGAAAAUAUUAUCACUUGGUUUGAAUGUUCCAAAGAAAUAAUAAGUGAUCGAAGAGCCUAUUUUAUUAAUUCUAUGAUUGCAGCUUUGAUUGAUAAAUAAGAGAUCAAACAUCAAAAAAUAAUCCCAUAUCAUCCUCGAGCCAAUAGAUAGGCUAAAAAGACCAAUGGUAUUUUAUACAAAAUUUUAACUUAGAUAGUAUUUGGUGUGGGAACAGAUUGAGAUACUAAGUUGUUUGUAGCAUUGUAGGCAUAUCAUACUGUAUAUAAAGUGACUACCAAUUCUAUACCAUUUUAAUUGGUAUAUGGGCAAGAAGUAAUAUUAUCAAUUGAAUUGGAAGUUCAGAGUUUAAGAAUUGCAUUGGAUGAAUGUCUUGGCAAUAAAAAAUCCCUCCAAUAAUAGUUCAUAAAAUUAAAAAAAAUUAGAUGAAAUUAGGGCUAAAACUCUUCUAACUAUGGAAGCUAUACAGCAUCGACGUAAGAGUUAUAAUGAUAGUAAAUUACAUCCCAUAUCAUUUUCACCCAAUGAUCUAAUACUUCUUUAUGAUAGUCGAUUUAACAAUUUUUUGAAGAAAUUCCAAGUCCAUUGAUAUGGAUCGUAUUGUAUAAUGGAAGGUUUUUCUAAUAAUUUAGUUUACUUGAAAGAUUUUAUGGAUAACCAGUUUAUCACACAUAUCAACAAAAAUUGAUUACGACUUUAUUAUAUAUAAAUCCGAGAUGGGUUUCAAAAAAAUUGGAAGGAAGAAGGUUUAUCUGUUAAUGAUAGAUUACCUAUAUUCAUAGGUGUAUGAUGGAUAUUAAAAAUGGCUAGUAGUUGGUUGUAGAUCCUAAUAUUGAUUAGUCAGGAAAAUCAGAAAUGAGAUUCUAGUUAACAAGAUUAGGGAUUCUUGAUCCAUACUCUAAGUAAAAGGUUAGAAGUGAGGCACUUAGUAGAAGUUUUCUUUAGCAUUUUGAACAUUGUUGUUUGGAAUGUAACUAUUAGAAUAUAGGAUUUACUUAAGUAAGCAAAAAAAAUAGUAUUAGUAUGAACAAGGAGUGAGAAGUAAGUAUUCCACAAUGUCAAUAGAAAGAGUGAAGAGAGGUAUGGAUAGAAAAGAAAGCUAUCAAAAUGUAAGAGCUAAGAGCAAUUCGAAGUUGCCAUCCUUAGUGGUUUUUACCAAUUUAGAACCUAUGAAGUUGGAAAUCUGCUGGUAUCUAAAAAAGCAAAGAGAUUUUAAAAAUGUUCAAUUAUAUCAGUUUUUAAGAGGGUCAUAUAACUUGCUGCCAAUUGAUAUGGAUUUUGUAGAGGAAUAUAUAGCAAAUUAUGACCCAAAAGAUUGUUUGAGUAUUAUCAAGGAGAAAUUAUUGGAAUCAAUGAAACUACCUUACAAAAGAUACUGCACCUCCCAAUUGAUGAGCUUGCAUUUGGUGUUGAAGUAUCCAGUGAUUUUAGAUCGAAAAGCUAUUUCAAAGAUGGCAUGUCAUUAUUUGAGAUAAAUUAAGGCUAGCAAAUGGCGGAGGUACUUACAUCAAAGCUUAUAGAAUGGAUGUGUUUUGUUCAAAAGCAGUUAGGCUUAAAUUGACACACCAUAUACAUAUCCAAAUGGCUACUGUUUGCUAUGAUAGGAACGCUGGAAGGUAUGGUGUUUAUUUGAGCAACUUUUGUAGCCACUAGAAUCCAUGCGGAGAUGGAAGCCAAGCAAAAGAUGGAAAAAUUUGUAACUUUGUUUUGCUCUAAUUAUGUGCACUCUGUGAUUGCAUAUACAUUGAGUCAAAUACUAUUAGUAAGGGAGAAAAAUAUGCCCUCUCUAAUACCUCACCAAAGUGUUUAAAGUUUAAUAGCACUGAUAGUUAGUCCAAGGAUUGUGCUACAUAAAAUUUGAGAAUCAAGUAACUCAUUUAGACAAAAAGUUAUACCAGAGAUUAUACUAGAGCAAAUUUUAAUUUUUUUAGUGAUCAAGGUAGAGGCUAAAGUUCUAGUUUUUAUGGAUAUAAACCAAUUAGCAUUUCUAUAAGGUAGAAUACCGAAAAGUAUGAAUCUCAAGGAUGUCAUAUUGGCUAAGUUUUCUCAAUUACAGCUCACGAUGGAUAAACUGGAUGGGAAGGAAAAUUUAAGGCAAUAAUUGGAAGUGAGUAAGAAAGAGAUAUUGGAGUAUAGGUACAAAAUUAAAGAACAAGAUCAAAUUAUCCAAGAAAAUGUGAAAUCCAAGUUACUGUAGGAGCAUAAAUUUGAAAAAAAAUAAGAAGCUUGGAAAAAAAAAAAAAAAAAAAAAAAAUGCAUUCAACGUAUCAUGGAAGGCCAAAGGCAAGACCUAAUCCAAAUUUGUAGUACAUCAAUAUUGGAAUGAGAAAAGACAAAGUGUCAGUUAAAAAUAAAAUGAAAAAAGAUAGGAAUACUGAAACAAAAAAAGCGGACAUUGGAUGAUUAAUAUCAAAUUGAAAUAGAAACGUUACAAAAAAAAAAUUGAAAUCUUGAAGACCGUAGUAAUAAAAUUGGAAGAUGAUUUAGCUAGUAUUGAUCAAUCAUAGAUAUCUACUCUAUCCAUUUCAACAAUUGAUGAAUUAAAAGAGAAGGUGAGACAAUAAUAGCAUCAUUUGGAAGUAAAAGAUGUCAGGAUUUUACAAAUGGAGGCUCAAGUUGGUGGAUUGGGAGCAUAUAAUGAAUCCAAUUGAAGAGAGAAUCAAUGGAAGUAUUGGAGGAGGAUGAGGACUUAUCAUUAGAACUAAAAUUAGUAGAACUACCUAUGGAGAAUAUUGAGAUUGAUCAAUCUAAUGAGCUAGAGGGUUAGACACUUUGUAAGGAUUCCGUUGAAGAAGUUUGUUUUUAUCAAUUCUAUGUUUGCAAGGAUGCUGCAUAAUUAAGAGUGGAACUAUGUAGAAUAGAUAGGAUAUUUUUUAUUUUACAAUACAUAGUAUGUAGGGUUAAGAGAAGUUAAUAAUCUAAUGAAUGGCUAGUUUAGAAGGUAUGAGAGAUGUUGUAGUCAAAAAAAGUAGUUAUCAUUAUGUAAUAGUUGACAUUUUGAGGAAAAGCACAAGUACUUUGAAGAAGAAAUAGAAAGGACCAAACUGUGAUAGUCAUGAGCCAGUUUAAGCUUAGUGCUACAUCUUUGUUUCUUUGUUUUCUUUGUAGAAGAAGAAUAAUGGAUAGAAUUUGAAUAAUAUAAAUUAAAAUUUUGAAAUAAAAGAAAGAUUUGAAUUAGAUGAUAUCAAAUGAAAAAUUAAAUUUAUUAUGUGCUGAAUUAUAAGUGAAAGAUUAGAAAGUUGAUAAUGGAAGAUGUUUGUGAAAUAUGAAUAUAAUUGGAAGAAUUAUAAUGCAUUAAUUUUUGAGAGUUGAAAGUCUGUCAAGAAGAAGAUUGUGGAGUCUGAAAUUGUAUAAAGCUUGUCAUUCAGAAUGACAAUUAGUUUUGGAGAAUUCUAGUCAUUGGAUAUGAAAUAUUUUAUACAAUCUUUUAAAAUAAAGCAAUAUUACCUAUUGUUGUUAUAAGUUAGGAGAGGAGAAGAGACAAUGAAUGUAUAAUAUAGAAUUAUAGAUUGCAAUAUUUUAUUUGAUAGAAUGUAAGAAGCAUUAUAGCUUUCUUGGUUGUUUUAAUUGAUCAAGAGAUAGUUAAUUAUGUAAUCCUAAUGUGAAAACUCAUGCAGAUAGUCUUUUCUUGUGUUUGAAUCUCCUUACAUAAUUUUAUUCUAAUUAGAUUAGUUUAGAGUAAAUAAAAUGACAAUUAGAAUGGUAUACCUCAAAUAUUGCUCCAAAACUUAAAUCACCCAUUUUGUUUGCCUAUUAGUUUGAGGCUGAAAAGCCAAAGAAAGUUUUAUAUCUAUCUUUAAAAUCUUAAAUAGGAUUUUUUAAAAUCUUAAUACAAAUUAAAUCCCUCUAUCCAAUAUAAUAUCCUUUGCCAAUCCAUGAUAGUGAUAGAUAUUAUCAAUGAAAAGCUUAACUAUUUCUUUACCUGAAAUAAAUUUUAUACAUAGUACAAAAUGUACCAUUUUGGUGAAGUGAUCUCUGAUUAUGAAUAUAGAGUUAUAUGAAUUUGAGUUUGGAAGAUCUAUCAUAAAAUCCAUAGAAACAGAAGACCAUAGUUGUUCUGAAAUUGGUAACAGUUGAAGAAGUCCAUAAAGUCAAUGGCGAGGAGUUUUGGAUCUUGAAUAAGUAUCACAUUAUUGUACAAAGUCUUUGACUACCUUCCACAUUAGAAGCCACCAAAAAUCUUUUGAUAUUAGCUCCAAAGUCUUAUUGUAUCCAAAAUGUCUAGUUGCUGGAAAAUCAUGACAUACUUAAAAGACAUGUAAUUGUGCGUCGUCUUCUAGAAUAUAUAGGCAAUCUUUGAAAUAUAGUAGGUUGUUCUUAAAUUCAAACUUUGGAGUGUCAUAAGACUUAGAGGAAGUAUUCUUGAUAUCAUAAAGAAGAGGAUCAAAGGACAUACUUAAUUAAAUUUGCUUAAUAAAGGUUGAAUCAAUAGUCAAUGUUGAUUUUAUUGCUCAAAGAUGAAAAUAUUUGAGCUUCAAAAAUAUCAUUCUUUGUUGAUCAAAAGAUGUAUCUCCUUUUUUUGGUGGAAGAUAAGAACGUCUAAAAAGAGUGUUUGAUAGACCUUGUUAUUUUUUAAAUCAAUAAAUAAUCUUGAAAUUAAAUUAAGAUAAAAACAUACUCCAAUGGACUUAACGACAAUUCAAAAUAUGUACUCACAUGAAGUACUCGAGGUUCUUAUGAUCGAUAUAUACAGUGAUUGGUUUUGAAGUGCCUUCUAAAUAAUGAUGCCAUUCUUAAAAUGAAUCCACAAUUGUAAGGAGCUCUUUAUCAUGGAUCUCAUAAUUAAUCUUGGUUGCUGAAAAUUUCUUGGAAUAGAAAGCUACUUGGUGGAAUUUGUCAUAUGUUUCUAUUUGUGACAAUAUGGCACCCAUAGCAAAGUCUAUUGCAUCUGUUUGCAUAAAAAAUACCUUAGAUAAGAUGAUGCAAUAUAAAAUUGGUACAGAAGUAAAUUCUUUCUUUAAAGCAUCAAAUGAUUUUUUUGCUUCUUUAUUCCACUCAAGUUUGUCUUUACAAGUCAAACGUAUAAAAAGAAUUAUAAUUUGAAAAAAAUUCUUGAUGAAGAUUUGGUUGUAAUUAGCAAAGCCUAAAAAGUAUUGCACAUCUUGUACUAUUAUUGAAAUCUUCCAAUCUAUGAUAAUUUUGACCUUCUUAAGAUCCAUCAUAAGGCCUUCAUUGGAAAUAAUGUAUCUUAAAAAAUCAACUUGAAUAGUAUGGAAUAUACACUUUUUCAACUUAGCAUAUAAUCUUGUAUCUUUGACUUUCUGUAAUAUACAACGAACAUGAAGCUCAUAUUCUUUUAUAUUCUUAGAAUAGGUUAGAAUGUCGUCUAAAUAGCAAAUGACAAAAUCAUCUAGAAAAUAAUAAAAAAAAUCAUUCAUAAGAUGUUGAAAAGUAGCCGAUGCAUUUGUGAGUCCGAAAAGUAUGACAUUAUAUUGAAAAUGUCCAUACCUAGUUCAAAAAGUAGUCUUCCAUUCAACUCCUUCUUUGAUACGAAUUAAGUUGUAUGCUUCUCGUAGAUCUAUUUUAGUAUAGAUCUAUUUUAGUAUAGAUCUUUCCUUGAUUGAGUUGAUUAAGAAGUCUUGAAGUCAAAGGCAAAAGAUAUCUAUUUUUUAUGGUGAACUUAUUGAAUUCUCUCAAUAAUCUACACACAUCCAUAGAGAUCCAUCUUUUUUCUUCACAAAUAAGAUAGGAGCUCCGACUGGGAAUUUAGAAUGGUGUAUGAAGUUCUUUGCCAAGUUUUCAUCAACGUAUUCUUUUAAUACAGCCAACUCAUUCUACAAUAAGCUAUAGAUUGGUUUGAAUGGUGGUUGAGCUUCUUCUUUCAAAUCAAUUGAACAAUCAUAAGGUCAAUGCUUUAGAAGAAUAUUUACAUUUUUCUUUUCAAAAAUGUGUUGAAAUUCUUCAUAUUGGCUAGAAAUACCACUUGACAUUUUUUCACCAUUAGAAAUAGGCAUAGUAUAUAUUGCAAAAGAUGAUCCUUCUUUUUCAACAUGCAUGAAAGCUCUUACACCUAUCAGUAAAGGUUUAGAAAUACUAGACUUUUGUACUUCUACUUUGCUAAGUCAAUCUUGAAUUAUACUACCAAAAAAAGUUAAGGUUACAAGAAAUCCAAUCUAUUUGAGAAUUAUACUUUUUAGCCGUGAUAAUCCUAAAAUAAUCAAAUUAGAGAGAGAUCUUAUUAUAUUAAAUACUACUAUACUUUUAUAAUCUUUAAUUGUUACAUCUAAAAGAACGGUCUCAUAGAUAAUAUUUCUUGAAGACAAAUAACCAUCUAUGACCUCUAUAUGUACAAAUUUAAUUUUUUUGACUUAAGGUAUUUUUUGAUUUUUGAUAAAAUUUUCAGCUAUAAAAGAGGCUAAGGCUCCUAAAUCUAAUAAGAGAAGGACUUUGUAAUUUUUAGGUCCUAAACGCACAUCUAUCAUAGGUAACUCAAAUAAAUCCAAAAAUUUAAAUAAAAGGAAGGUAAUCUGCAAUCUCUAAUAAAAAUUUCCACAAAGAGGGGUCAUCUACUCUCUUGAAAGAAAGAUUAGUAUUAAAAAAUAAGAUGUUUUUGUUUAAAAGGUGGGUAGUUAAGUAACUUUCUAAUUCUCUUCAAUGACACAAGAGUGUAUCAAGGAUUCUCUUACUUUAAGAUUCAUUUCUCUUACAAUUUCACAAGAGUGCUAACAUAUUGUUUUAUCUUGUUUUAUAAGUGAGUGGAUUAUCCCACUUCUAUUGAUAUAUUUUGAAGGUUGCAGCCAUAUAUAUUCUUAACUAGAAGCUACAUAGCGAUGUCCUAUAGGACCUCCAAAACAUGUUGAUUUUGCUAGCUACAUGUUUUAACUUGCAAGGCAAGUUAUCUAUGUAUGUGCCACAUGGUUAGCUUAUUCCAUAAGCUAUUAUGCGCAGUUAACUUGUUCCACAAGCUACCAACAUGUGGUUAACUUGUUGGCAUAGUUUUUGAUCUAUAAACACAUCUAAAGUCAAAACGACAUCUAUGAAGCUUCUAAGAAGCUCUACUAACAAACUUUGUAAAAUUAAUCUAUAUUUACUUACUUCUAUCUAAUCAUAUAAGUAAUUAUUGAAGUAAAUGUAUAUGUCCCUAAUAGUAAUCUACAAUUUCUAAUAAAAAUUUCCACAAAGAAGGGUCAUCCACUCUCUUGAAGGAAAGAUUAGUAUUACAAAACAAGAUGUUUUUGUCAAAAGAUUGGUAGUCCGUAACCUUCAAAAUAUAACAAUAGAAGUGAGAUAAUCCUCUGACAUAAAAAAUAAGAUAAAAACAAUAUGUUAGCACUCUUAUCAAACUGUUAGGGACAUGAAUCUUAAAAAAAGAGAAUCCUCGAUACACUCUUAUGUCACUUAAGAGAACUAGAAAGUCACUUAAAAGAUAAUGUAAUAUUAACUAGAAUGAUUAUUGCCAAAAAUAAAAAGAUUAGAAAGUCUUGAAACAAGACUAAAGACUAGAACGACAUUGAUAAGAGUGAAGAAGGCUUCACUCUUACUUCCAUAUAUACUCUCUAACUAAGAGCUAUGUGGAGAUAUUCUGUAGGACUUCAAACAUAUGUUAACUUUACUAGCCACAUGUCUUAACUUGCAAGGCAAGUUUUAUAUGUAUAUACCACAUAGUUAGCCUAUUCAGCAAGCUUCUAUAUGGAAUUAAUUUGUUCCACAAGCUACCAACAUAUGGUUAACUUAUUCUCCAAGUUUCUAUUCUAUAAAUAUAUCUAAAGUCAAAACAACAUCUAUAAAGCUUUUAGAAAGAUUCUUUAGAAGACUUUAUGAAAUUAAUCUAUAUUUACUUACUUCUACCUAAUCAUUUAAGUAACUAUUGGAGUAAAUGUAUAUAUUCGAGACAAUUGAUAGAAAGAUUGCUACCUACACAAUCUCUAAUUAAUAGACUAGAACAAUAAGAAGGCCUAAAUGAGGCUAGAAGAUGAAGUGUUCAAUAUACAAAUGCUAUACAAAGAAGAAAAAAAAUACCUUUGACAAACAAAACAAGGUUAGAAUUCUUAGGCCUGGCAUAUUGGUCAUCUUACAAAAUACUAGGAAAAUAGGUUUUUCAAACAAAUUUAUUACCAUAUAACUAGGGCACUAAUUGAUAAAAGAAUUAUUCUCAAAUAAUUUAAUUUGGUUGUAAAUUCUUAAUAAAGAAGAUUUUUCUACUAGAAAUUUUGGCAAUUGAUGCAAAGAAUAUUAUAUGUGAUUUUUAUCACAUAUAUGGUCAAAUAUUCCAUUCAUAUGUUCACCCUUAUUCAAUCCCUUAAAAUGUCAAAAUCAUCAAAAUUAAGUGGAAUUUAAGAAGUUAAAUACUUGACUUCAAGACAUACAAUAAAAUUAUUCAUUGGUCUUUUCUUCCUUUCAAUUUAGUUUCUUUCACCAAAAAAAAUAUAAAAAAAUUCUUUCAUAAUUGAUGAGUAAAAAAAUAUAUAAUAAUAAUUAUAAUAAUAAUUUAUUGUAUGUAUUAGGAUUUGUUUAUAUAGAUCUUAUAUAAAUAUCCAAAGGUUGUAGAAAUAUUAGUCAUGUGAAGGGUUGUUAAUCGAAUGUCUUAGAUUUGAAUCGAGUUGGAAAAAUGAGCUAUCUCUAUGAACUAGUAUUAAUGCAGGAAAGAUUAAUAUUAAAUACCGAAUGGAUAUGUAGGCCUUUGACCUGUUGGCAAUUCUUUUCUAGCAAGAAUUCCAACUCAUAUGUAUCAAUAUGCAAGAGUUUCUUUUGUUUGUGUGACAUUGUUUCAAGUAACAAUUGAAGUUUGCUCAGGUUGAGAUCAAUCAAAACUACUGCAUGAACCCUCUUAAAUAGAGUUUUUUUUUUUUUUUUUUUUUUUUUUUUCUUGGCAUUUUCUUCCCAGCAAGAAUUCCUUCUUAGUUCUCUUCUUGCUUUGAUUAAAAGACAAAGAUUAUCAUGAAAAAAGACCAACUGACACUUAGGAGCCAAAAGAGGUUUUUUUUGUUUUUGUUUGUGUUGUUGUUGUAGACUCUAUCUGAGAUGAAUAAGGAUUUUCGCUUGUUUAAAAGUACAUGAGAAAGGAGAGUGUGUAUGAUACAAUGUUGUUAUCGUGAGUAUGAGAGCAAAGUACUAUUUGAAAGUAAACUGGUAGGAACGAUGUACCAGGAGGUCUAGAAGAUGAUUGAGCUUCCUCCUGCGCAUGAUUGAGCUUGUUUUUGAGACGAAGAGAAAGAGACAGAAUUCAGUCACCAAGCGGGACAGCGUAAAUGCUUGAAGACGAACGCAGGGGACGGACUCAGCUCCUACAGCAGGAACUGAGUCUGGAUUCAGCAAUUGCAAUCUGCUCUAUGAAGCCCACACAUGAAAGGGCUCUAGCAUAGCUGUCUUGUAAAUGAGCAAAAUCGGGGUGAUGGAUUGAAUGCCGAGCAAUUUAGAGGUUAUCCGUUCAGGAUCCGAAAGUGUAGGAUCACGUAACACAGAGUCCACAAUGACUGUAGCAAUGCGUGAUUGAAACCUCGCAGAAUAUGACGUUUAAGUCAACUCUUUUGUUGGAUUGUAUACCGAGCAAUUUAGAGGUUGUCCGUUCAGGAUCCGGAAGUUUAGGAUCACGAAACACAUGUCCACAAUGACUGUAUCAAUGUGAAUUGAAACCUCGCAGAAUAGAACAUUUAAGUCAACUCUUCUGUUUUUGCAGCUUGCAAUCAUAGUCAAAACGGAGCUGGCAGCACGAGGAGGACAGUCUGCAGCUUCAUAUUUUUGUUGUAGAAAAAUGACGUGAUUUACAAAUUAUAAGUGUUGGCGACGUGCUAUCCUCGUGACUCCGUGGCCUCGCAACCUCCCAACUCAAUCGACUGGCUCGACCCUCUCAGCCGUUAGAUAACAAUAUUUAAUCCUUUUCCUUUAACGCGGAGAACGCGGGGGAUCCUGGUAUUCAGGGCAGGGGAGCGGGGGGGGGGGUGGCGGGACGGGCAGUAACUGGCCCCGCAGCCGGAGGGCGGGAAGCUCGCUUAGGGUCCUGACCGUGUAAAAAAGCAACAAGGAGAUGAAUCAAUAUAAAAAAGAUAAUAUUUAAUACUUAUGAUGUUUUGAAUCAAAUUAAAUCAACUUUAAAUCCUUGUUUAUAAAAUAUCCAUAUUGGAGAAAAAAAUUAAUGAAAUAAAGAAAGUUGGCCCUGACAGAAUUUAUAGCAGUUAUGUAUCUAUAUUAAGAGGUUUAGGGUAUAGAUGGAAGACACUGGAAUUUAGCCGUGAGCCUUGGUUGCUGUCUUGUCAGUCUCUGCUUUGGCUUGGCGUGAUAAUUGCCGUGGUUACCGGACCCUAAUUGAGUCGAUGUCCCUGUGCUUCAUGUGGUGCUGGCUUAUGUUCAAAGUUUAGUGCAACCCUGUGUGUCUGGAAUUGGCCAUGAACUUCUGAUCAUGUAUGCACUGAGGUGAAGGUUUGCAGUGGCCCUAAUGAAGCUUUUGUGAAUGCUUCUCCUUCAGUGUCGCCGAUGUUUGUCGAUGCCGCAACUGGGAUUAUUAGCAGUGGGUAUGUGUCUCACGGUGCUGUAUUAUUAGCAUUAGCGUUCUACUUUGCGGCUGGGAUCUUCUUUUGUAAAUGCAAGAAUAAGUGGAUAAAUAAGAGGUGGUCAGAAUCGGAGACUUAGAUUGUCCCACAUUUUGAUGCCCCUAUUAUAUGUAUAUACAUAUAUAUAGUGUUUUUUGACAUGUUCAACCUAGGUCUCUCUGUUCACGUGCUUAGGUCAUUGUUGGGCAAAUCAAGUUACUAUGUAGUCAUUGAUUUUGCUAAGUAGAUAGUUUGCAUUUUAAUAGCUUUGUCAUCCAUGUCAUCCAUGCAUGUUAUUUAUAAUGUUUCAUAGAUUCUCUUAUUUCAAGAUUAUUCCAAACAUAGUAGUUUUAUGCUCCUAUCAACUUAUUUGACUCACCUACUUCACAACUUGAUGUGUUUUCUCUUCUUUCUACCAUCUCUCUAGGAUUUAAUUCUUUAGGAUAUGUCUCCUUUUAGUACUUCUCUUACUAAACAAAGAGAGCAAAGAUCACAUUAACUAAAUAGUAUUCUAAUUGCUCUGGUACCAUGUUAUUAAUAUGUAUUUAAGAGAGAAAUUUUAUUUGAACAUAAAAUGUUACAUAUAAGUUGAAAUUUUAUCCAUUGUAGUAAAAUAAUAUUAGGAUAACUAUUUUAUUUUUUUUUAUCUCACUCUAGUAUUGACAUGGAUUCAAUGUUUUAUAGAUCAAUGAUUACAUCAAAAAAGACUAGAUAUUAGUAGAUGAUCAAGGAUGAAAGUUAGGUAUCACCAACAUUGAAAAAUUUAUACCUUACAAUACUACUCCAAACAAAAGGCAUAGGAGAUCAAAGGGGGAUGGUGACGGCAAGAGUAAUAGUAAUAUCAAAGGACUCAUGGAACAAAACUCUAUUGGCCUUUUUGACACUUGCCAUCCAUUUUCACCUUCAGAUGUUCUUCUUUGUCUUUUACAUUUGUUCCUCAAAUGUACAUAAUGAUGUACUACCAGCAUGCCAAAAUUAUGAAUAUAUGUUUGAAAACUAAUUGAUUGAAAUUCAACAACUGUCAUUCUUUAGCAAAGAUAGAUUACUAUCCAAAUUACUAUCCAAAUUAAAUAAUCUCUUAUCUUCAUUAGAACUUCUAAUGAUACAAAUAAUAUAAGAAAAUUAAUGAAUAGACAUCUUUAAUUAAUUGUCAUUUAUAUAAUCUAUUGCCCUUAUCAAGACAAAUAUAAUACUUAGUUUCAAAUGCAAAAUAGUUUCUUAAAGUUCUUUCAUUUGUAAGUGUGUCUUUGCCAAUAUGCUACAUUUAAUUAUUUCUAGAAAAUAUCAUGGACAUAUAUAUUUAUCUCAAUAAUUACUUAUAUGAUUAGAUAGAAGUAGAUAAAUAUAGAUUAAUUUUAUAAAGUCUUUUCAUGAAGUUUCCUAGAAGCUUCAUAGAUGUGGUUUUGACUUUAGAUGUGUUUAUAGGUUGGAAACUUGGCCAACAAGUUAAUCAUGUGUUGGUAGCUUAUGGAACAAGUUAACUCUGCAUAAUAGCUUGUGAAAUAAGCUAACCAUAUGGUGCAUACAUAGAUAACUUGCCUUGUAAGUUAAAUCAUGUAGCUAACAAAGUCAACAUGUUUUGGAGGUCCUAUAGGUCAUCGCCAGGUAGCUCUUAGUUAAGAGUAUAUAUGGAGGCAAGAGUGAAGCCUUCUUCACUCUUGUCAACACUGUUUUAGUCUUUAGUCUUAUUUCAAGACUUUCUAGUCUUCUUGUUCUUGACAAUAGCCAUUCUAAUUAAUAUUUUAUUAGCUUUUGAGUGACUUUCUAGUUCUCUUCAAUGACACAAGAGUGUAUCGAAGAUUAUCUUUCUUUGAGAUUUAUAUCCUUGUCAGUUUAACAAAAGUGCUAACAUACUAUUUUGUCUUAUUUUAGAAGUGAGUAAAUUAUCCCACUUCUAUUAUUGUAUUUUGAAGAUUGCGGAUUAUCCGCCUUUAAACAAAAAAAAUCUUAUUUUCUAACACUGAUCUUUUCUUAAAGAGAGUGGAUUAUCCUUCCUUGUAGAAAUUUUUAUUAGAAGUUUCAGAUUACCGUCCUUUAAUUUAACUUUUUGAAGGUGUUUGAGUUGCCUACACAAGAAAAGAUUAUGGACGCUACACCUAGAAGAAGUGAGAAUAGAUUUGUAACUAUUGUAAAUCAUCAUGAAUUUGUCAAUACUCUUAGAAUAGAAAUCUCAUAUAUUUCUAAUGUGAGUCAGGGAGGUACUAUACCUACACCUAUGGAAGAAGUUCAAAGUGUGCAGUAAGAAGUUGAAAGAAGCAAGUAAAUCUAUUUUACAACCAAAGCCAAGGAGUUUUGCUUCUAUAAGUAUGAUGGGGACAAGAAUUAAUAUGCUUGAGAAGUUUGAUGGAACAAGACCAAAAAUUUGAAGAUUUUUGUAAAAAAUCAAGCUCUAUCUAAGAUUGCAUCCUUUCCAAUAUGUUGAUGGAUUUACUCAAGUUUGAUUCAUAUGCAUAUUUCUAUAAAAAAUUCCUCUUUUUUGAUUUGUACCUUUAAUGGAAAACUGUGUCGAGAUAGCCUUUUUGUGUAUAUUUUCCCUCAUCGAGUCUUUGUCCUUGACAGAUUGACAAGAGUACACUUACAAUAUCAGAGCUUUGUUUUUCUUGAGUGAGAGUGGAUUACCCCUUUCUCUUGACAAGACAUAAGCGUAUUAGAAGUUUGCGGAUUACCCACUUCUAAACUGAUAUUAUUCUUAGUAUCUUCUUUGUUAUCAAGUCUUUCUUUUCUUUUGUCUUGAGCAGUAUCAAACAAAUUUUUCUUAGUGUCAUUAUGGUAGAGCUUGUUGAAAUGAAGAGUGCAAUGGCACAAAUGCAAGAGCAAAUGAGGGAGUCAAUGCUUGCGAUGCAUCAACUCAAUUCACCAACACAUGAAAGAACAAGAAUAGCAGAAAGUGGGGAUAUAAAGAUGAUCGGAGCUGCUUCAACAUCUACAACAAAUCACGUUCCUUCUCCAAUUGUACAACACCCUGUAAGCACUAGAGAACCAAGAAUUGCCUUACCCAAGAAAUUUGAUGGUACGAGAUCUAAGUUUCGAGGGUUCAUCAAUCAAGUACAAUUGGCAAUUGAACUUCAACCGCAAAGCUAUCCAACUCCAGGAUCACAAGUCAGGUUUAUUGGCACUCUACUUUCUGGUUCUGCAUUAUCGUGGUUUUCGUCUUUUCUUAAACAACGAAAUCCAAUAUUGGACAAUUUGAAAGCUUUUUUGGCAGAGUUUCGAUCUAUGUAUGGUGAACACGAUGCAACUCGUGUUGCAACAAAUAAGAUCCGAAUUCUACGACAAGGAAAUCGCUCAGUAACAGUGUAUGCUUCACAAUUUUGACAACUUGCAAUUGACAUCAAGUGGGAUGAUGCUGCACUCAUCAGUCAAUUUCUUUAUGGAUUGCAAUACGAAGUAAAAAAAUUGAUGCUCAACUUACCUGAUCCUCAAACUUUGAGUCAAGCAAUCGAUUUUGCGGUAAAAUGUGAUAAUCGACUUUUCGAAUUUCAAUCUGAGAAUCAUUCACGGGAACCUCAACGUUAUUACUCAAUGGCAACAUCAACAUCUUUGCCAAACGUACAUUCGGAAGUAGAAGACAUGCAAAUUGACGCGGUACGUUUUAAACCCCUAACUGAGCAAGAAAAGAUUCGUCGUCGUCAAGAAGGAUUAUGUUUAUAUUGCGAAGAAUCUAAGCACACUGCUCAACAUUGUCCAAAGAAGCGACGCAACUAUAAAAUGAGGGGUACGACGGUCAAAGAAAACAACAUGUCGGAAAACGGAUUCGUCCAGCUACAAUAGGGACCAUGCAGCUGGAACCUUGUACAAUUCGUAAUGAAGGUCCUAUCCUCUCCUCAGAACCCUCUCCUUGUUUUAUAAUAGACUUAUAUUUAGGACCUAAGAAUUACAAAGCCUCUGCUUUAUUAGAUUCAGGAGCCUCAGCAUGUUUUUUAGAUGAACAAUUUGUUAAAAGUCGUAAAAUACCUUUUGUACAGAAACCUAAACCAGUACAUGUAGAAGUCAUAGAUGGUCGUCCCUUGUCUUCUGGAGAUGUCACUCAUGAAACUCAUCCUAUAAAAGUAACAAUAGACGGUCAUGAUAGCUACAUAGCUUUUAACAUAAUUAAAUCCCCAUCCAAUCCAGUUAUUUUAGGUUUAUCCUGGCUAGAAAAAUAUAACCCUCGAAUAGAUUGGAAUUCGCGUAAACUUAACUUUUCCCAGAGCGUUAUUAAUAGUUCUACUAACCAAGUAAAAAAUUAUAAGUCUAGUAUAGUAAAACCCGUACUGAUAGGUGCAAAAGUAUUUAUACACGUAGGAAAAGAAGGAUCAACUUUUGCUAUUUAUGCUGCACCUAUUUCUGAAAACGUAAAGACUUCAAGUGGCAUUCCAAGUCAAUAUCAGAAGUAUCAAGACGUUUUUGAGAAAAAGAAUGCAGAUAUUCUUCCUAAGCAUCGUCCAUAUGAUUGUUCAAUCGACCUCAAGGAAGGAACUCAGCCACCAUUUGGACCAAUUUACAGUUUAUCGCAAGAUGAGAUGGCUGAACUCAAGACAUAUAUUGACGAGAAUUUAGCGAAGAAUUUCAUACGCCAUUCAAAAUCUCCAGCAGGAGCUCCAAUUCUAUUCGUAAAGAAAAAAGAUAGAUCUUUACGAAUGUGUGUUGAUUAUCGAGGACUCAACAAGAUCACAAUCAAGAACAGGUAUCCAUUACCUUUGAUAUCAGGACUCCUUGACCAGUUGAAUCAAGCUAAGAUCUAUACAAAAAUAGAUCUAAGAGGAGCAUAUAAUCUAGUACGGAUCAAAGAAGGAGAUGAAUGGAAGACUGCGUUUCGAACCAGGUAUGGACAUUUCAAAUAUAAUGUCAUGCCCUUUGGACUCACAAAUGCACCAGCUGCUUUUCAACAUCUCAUGAAUGAUGUAUUUCGUGAAUUCUUAGACAAUUUUGUCGUCUGCUAUCUAGACGAUAUCCUGAUCUAUUCUAAGAAUGUCGAAGAACAUGAAAUACAUGUUCGUCAAGUAUUACAAAAACUUAGAGAUGUAGGAUUGUACGCCAAGAUGGAAAAGUGUGUAUUUCAUACUACUCAAGUUGACUUUUUAGGAUACAUCAUUUCAAAUGAUGGUCUCAUGAUGGAUUCUAAGAAAGUCCAAACAAUCAUGGAUUGGAAGAUUCCAAGGACAAUAAGAGAUGUCCAAUGUUUCUUGAGAUUUGCCAAUUACUAUCGGAUCUUCAUCAAAGAUUUCUCAUGAGUUGUAGCUCCACUUACACGCUUGACUAGUAAAGAUAAAUUUCAAUGGAAUAAAGAAGCGGAAGCAGCAUUUGAAGCCUUGAAGACAUCGUUUGUCUCUGCACUAGUCUUAUAUCGUGUUGACUUUUCCGAGGCAUUUUUUAUGGAAACAGAUGCAUCAGAUUUUGCCUUGGGUGCAAUUUUAUCAUAAAUAGGAACAUAUGACAAACUUCAUCUGAUAGCUUUUCAUUCAAGAAAAUUCUCAGCAGCCGAGAUCAAUUAUGAGAUCCACGAUAAAGAACUUCUUGCGAUCGUGGAUUCCUUUCAAGAAUGGCGUCAUUAUCUAGAAGGUGCUUCUAGUCCAGUCACUGUGUAUACAGAUCACAAGAACCUCGAGUAUUUCAUGUCAACACGCGUGUUGAAUCGUCGUCAAGCUCGUUGGAGUAUGUCUUUGUCAAGAUUCGAGUUCAUUAUCACUUAUCGGCCAGGAAAACAACAAGGUUUGUCCGAUGCCCUAUCUAGACGUUCUUAUUUUGCACCAAAAGAAGGAGAUGCAGCUUUUGAGCAACAAAGAAUGGUCCUCUUGAAACCAGAGCAAUUUCAUCUCCGAGCAAUGAAAUCAACAUUGACUGUUGAUUCAACUUUUCUCAAGCAAAUCCAGUCCAGUAUGUCCUUAGACCCUCUUGUUCAUGAUAUCGAGAAUAAUUCUUCCAAGUCUCAUGAUCCUUCUAAGUUCGAGUUCAAGAAUAAUCUAUUAUAUUUUGAAGGACACCCAUAUGUUCCAGAAGGAGAAGCACGUUUACGUGUUCUUCAAGCAUGUCAUGACUUUCCAGCAGCAGGGCACUUUGGAUAUAAUAAGACUUUGGAACUCAUAUCAAGAGAUUUUUGGUGGCCACAAAUGUGGAAGUCAGUCAAAGACUUUGUACAAUCAUGUGAUAUUUGUUCAAGAUCAAAAAUUCCUCGUCAUCGACCUUAUGGACUUCUUCAGCCAUUACCUAUACCAGAACAACCAUGGUCUUCUGUUUCUAUGGAUUUCAUCACAGAUCUUUCAAGCUCAAGAUCUUAUGAUUCUAUAUUUGUGAUAGUAGAUCGUUUCACCAAGAUGGCACACUUUGUGCCAUGUACAAAAUCUAUCACAGGUGAAGAAACAGCUAAGCUUUUCAUUGAUAAUAUCUAUCGCUAUCAUGGAUUACCUAAAGAUAUCAUAUCGGAUAGGAGAACUCAAUUUGUGUCAAGAUUCUAGAGGACCCUUUUCAAGUUUUUAAAAGUGGACAUAAAGCUAUCUUCGGCUUUCCAUCCUCAAACUGAUGGACAAACAGAGCGCGUAAACCAAGUCUUGGAGCAAUAUUUAAGGUAAACUAUCAACUACCAACAAGAUGAUUGGACAACCCUUCUACCAUUGGCAGAGUUUGCUUAUAAUAAUAUGGUACAUUCUUCCACGCAACAAACACCUUUCUUUGCCAAUUAUGGCUAUCAUCCACGACUUGAUACUUUUGAUUUUUCAAAAGUUGAUAAUCCUGCAGCAGAAGAUAUGGCAAAUCGGUUGUCAGAGUUACAUGCAAUAAUGAAGACGCAAUUGAAGGAAGCUCAAGAACGACAAAAGAUAAACGCAGAUCUAUAUCGUAAGGAGCAACCACAACUCAUCGUGGGUGAUAAGGUAUAGCUACUUCAUCGCAAUAUCAAGACUACUCGACCUUGUGACAAGUUGGACUAUCGUAGGCUUGGCCCCUUUUCUGUUUCUGAACAGAUCAACC